AUGUUCUACCAUAUAAAUAAAACUCAAUGACCAAAUGUGGCAGCUUUCAGGCACUCCUUUGUGCUUGUCCCAUCGACUCACGGCGUUAUCUCCAUCUCCAAUCAUCGCUGUCCCUUUAAUUGUCCCCGCCGCCGUGGGAGAGAGUUUGCGCGUGCUUGUGGCCCGACAGCAGGAGAGGUCCAGAGAAUGCUGGGACUGUGGAGCUCGCGCCAAUGGACUUGGAUACGAGCUGGGCUUUCCGGUGAUGGAGAAGGACUGUUCUGUUGACAGUAUCCAUGGUUCCCUCCAGUGUUACAGUGAGCUCCAGAAUAGUGACCAGCCGGUAUGAGAGAUCAGCAGCCUGCUGUGUUGGAACUGUGACUGUCUCCAACCACCAGUGACAGAGAUUAAUGGCAGUGACUUAAACAAAUCCUAGUCCAAAAACAUAAGGAUCCCGAGGACAAGAAAGACGCCACCUCGUCAGACACUUCUUUAUAUUUCUGAGCAUGUAGCUGCCGUGAUUCCACAUUAGAAUCCAGCCAUCAUCAGAGCAGGAUGCAUGACAGUGCCAGGAGCACUGGGCAUGGAGAGGGCAGCUCCGCACGAUCAACUAAGUUACAGAAGAACCCGAAGCAGGGGUAUCGUAAACUUGGCGUGGCUAGUGGGUCAGGGUCAAAGUCGGCCGGGACAGGGUCAGGGGGUAAAACCCUGUCUAUGGAGAACAUCCAGUCCCUGAACGCAGCCUACGCCACCUCCAGCCCCAUGUACCUAAGUGACCGCGAUGCCUUGGCCUCCUCCGGUGGCUACCCUAAAGGAACCAUGACUCUUGGCCGAGCCACCAGCAGAACCUCCUACACGGGCCGGACCACAGCCAUGGGCAGCAGCCCCAACAUCACCACCACAUCAGACAGCCAGGGCUAUGGGGACCAGAGCCACACCCAGCACCUUCAGGCAGGGGGGCCCUCAGGGCUGCUUAGGCAGGCUGGACGGGGUGGAGAAGGAGGGGGAGAGGACAUCCAGGUUCAGCUCAGGGAGCUGCAGAGAGAGAAUGAACUGCUGAGAAGAGAGAUGGAUGGAGGGAGGGAUGGGAGAGAAGGGAGGAUGAGCUCUUCUGUCAACAGUAGAAUGAACUUCUGGAGCCCGGAGGUGAAAAGUCGAGACAGAGGGACGAGGAAAGAGGAGGGGGUCCUUACAUCCAUCCUGAAGGAACAGAAGUGGGCCUCUCCAGAGGAGGACCAGCAUCUCCAGUUGUCAGUGCAUGGGCUACAGGAAGAGCUGAGAAGUCAUAGAGAGAUGAACAGUCGUCUGCAACAAGAGAACUCGGGAUCUCACACAAACAUCUCCACUCACACCGGCUCGAACCGAGAACUCCACAUUGAGGACCACCGGGCUGGAAUCAGCCCUGGACACAGUCCUGGUCUGGGCCCCAGUCACCUCCACAGCCCUGGGCAAAGACAUAGCCCCGGCCCUGGUCUAGGAGUCAGCCCCAGACACAGCCCCAGUAACACCUACAACCAUGGGCCUAGAAACAGCCCUGUCCAUCCACAUAGCCCUGGGUACAGCUCCAACGUCAGACACCACCAAGCUGACAUCCACAGCCCUGGGUACAACUCUGGGCCUGGCCCCAGACACAGCCCUGCUAACACUCUCAUCCCCUUGUCUAGAAAAAGCCCCAGCCACCUCAUCCACAGCCCUGGCCGUUGCCUCAGCCCUCCCAGCAGCCCAUGCAUGGUCCCUGGGUGCGAUGGCUUCUCCUCUCCUCCUCCCCUGGAUCUGACGGAGGAGAACUUCAGCCGGCUGCAGUCAGAUCACGAACGGCAGGGCAAGGAGCUGUACCUGCUGAGGAAGACCCUGGAAGAGAUGGAGCUGAGGAUUGACUCCCAGAAACAGACGCUGGGUUCCAGGGACCAGUCCAUCCAGAGGCUGCUGGAGAUGAUCCAGGGAGGAGGGAAGGGUCAGAGAGGCGAGAGGUCAGAGAUAAUCACCAUGGCAACAGCACGCGAGGAGGCGGAGUACCAGGUGGGUCAUCUGGAGGAGCAGCUGGACCAGAGGGAGAAAGAGAACCUGCAUUUGAGAGAGGAGCUGCACAGGAGGAGCCAGCAGGACCCCACCAAGACUAAGGCCCUGCAGACUGUCAUUGAUAUGAAGGACACUAAGAUAUCGUCUCUGGAGAGGAACAUCCGAGACCUGGAGGAUGAGGUCCAGUUGAUGAAGACCAGCGGGCUGCUCCACCCUGGCGACCGCCUGGAUGAACUCAAACACAUGGAGGUCUACAAAAGCCACUCCAAGUUCAUGAAGAAACAGGUAUCAGGCCGUGUGACAGUGGGCCUGGGCUCCUCCAGGGCCGGGGGCCCCCCACCACACUUAGACACCCACCCCACCUUCCUCCUGUCCCAGCAGCCCUGGAUAGCUGACCGCUCAGCAGAAGUAGACCAGCAGAAGCAGGAGCUGAAUAAGAAGGAAUCAGAGAUGCAGGCCCUACAGACCAAACUGGAUGCUCUGACCAACCAGAACUCAGACUGCAAACAGCACAUAGAGGUGCUCAAAGAAUCACUCAGCGCCAAGGAGCAACGCUCUACCACACUGCAGACCGAGGUGGAUGCGUUGCGUGUACGUCUGGAAGAGAAGGAGUCCUUCCUCAGUAUGAAGACUCAGCAGCUCCAGGACCUGACGGAGGAGAAGGAUACGCUGGCCGGAGAGAUCCGGGACAUGAAGGAUAUGCUGGAUGUUAAGGAGAGGAAGGUCAACAUCCUGCAGAAGAAGAUAGAGAAUCUUUUAGAGCAGUUAAAGGACAAGGACAAGCAGCUGGCGGUUCUGAGAGACAGAGUCAAGGGUCUCCAGACUGACUCCAGCAACACAGACACAGCACUGACCACGCUGGAGGAGGCCCUGUCUGAAAAGGAGCGAGUGAUUGAGCGUUUGCGUGAGCAGAAGGAGCGGGAGGACAGGGCACGGCUGGAGGAGGUGGAAAGGAUGAGGAAGGAGAACCAGGAACUGAAGGAUAGACUCUCCAUCCUGACGACACACACACCUGGGUCCCAGAAUACGGAGGAGUCUACCAGGAAGUUGUUAGAGGUCAGCGACAGGAUCAAGCUGCUGGAGGAAGAAGUGACGCGUUACCGAGAAGAGUCUGGGAAGUCCCAGGCCGAGGUGGAGAGGCUCAUGGGUAUCCUGAGAGAGCAAGAGACGGAAAGAACCAACAAGGAGAAGAAGAUCACUGAGCUGGAGAGGCAAGUGAAGUGUCCAAACAUCCUUAAACAGAUGGUUUCAGGGGAGAGGAGGCCAGAUGGACUGACAGACGGACAUCCACACUCCAUCUCACAGCUGGAGGAGAUGAUGAAUGCCCUGGAGAAGACCAGGCAGGAGCUGGACACCACCAAGCAGCGCCUCUCCACUACCCAGCACUCCCUGCACGAGCGGGACGGUCACCUGACCAACCUGAGGCUGGAGAGACGCAAACAGCUGGAGGAGAUAUUGGAGAUGAAGCAGCAGGCCCUUCUAGCUGCGAUCAGUGAGAAGGAUGCUAACAUAGCCCUACUGGAACUGUCCUCCUCUAAACGUAAGAAAUCACAGGAUGAGGUGAUGUCACUGAAGAGAGAGAAGGACAGGCUCAUGCACCAGCUCAAACAACAGACCCAGAGUAGGAUGAAGCUCAUAGCAGACAACUAUGAUGAAGAACAUCUACACCCUCAUCAUCCUCACCAUCCUCACCACCCCCACCCGGGGGUACACCCGGCUCACCCGGCACACCCUGCUCACCCACACCACCGGACCCCUGCAAGAGGACCACCCCACGCCAACCACAGAGCCCCAAUGGACCAGGACGAUGAGGAGGGCAUCUGGGCAUGACCGUCGCCAUGGGAACUGAGGCUCCAAUCAUGCAAGGUCCCCAGGACAUCGGGAGAUGCCUUCAAUACCGGCCACUAGGGGCAACGCUGCUGGUGAUCCGGGCUUUGAACCAAACACACACUCCUGUUCAUCCUGGUGGAGCAGCUCUAAUGAUCCAGGGGCCAGACUGACUGCAGCAGAGUACCAGGAUCCUGUCCACCUGCCAUGGUUGAAGACAAUCCUUUUCCCGCCUUCCGUUGCAUGCAGAGAUGCUCUCUUUCUUCCCAGUGUUUGACAAUCAGAGAGCAGAGACUCGUAAAGUCCCAUGAGCUCCGAGGCGCCGUUGGACAUGUAACCCUGACUGUUAUACACUCUACUUAUGAACUACGGCUUUAACUCUCCAACAGUCAACCAAUCAUCUCACUGCCCCUCCCAGGUUCACUGACUGACUGAUAAAUCCUAGACAACAAACUAGUCAGCCUAAAAACCAGAAGGACCAAUCAGAAAGGACCAUUGAGAGUGACCAAACAUAAUUUUUUGGUGUGUUAUUUUUUUUGAUAGUUUGUGAGCCCUUGAAAGACUAUGGGAGAGAGCAAAUCCUGAUGUGGGUUUGUUUACGUAGCCACAUACGGAUAGCAUUAGCAUGGUCCACAACAUGGACCUCAGAUCCACAUGGACCUUCUCAAUGUACCGUGCCAAAGGAACCACUCCCUGUCAGCAGAGAGACACUGAGAGGGGAACCGGGUUCCAAUUACUCUAGAACCCUCCAAGAGAACCCAGAGAAGUGUUCUGUGUAUGCUACCUUUCUCUGAAUGUUCUUAAGUGUGGAAACACUCCUGUCAUCCUAUCACUGGACAGCUCUCUUGGUUGACAGUGCUCCAGGUAGACGAUGUCCAUAGGAACUGAUCUAGGAUCAGUGCCCUUUCUAAAUCCUUAAAUAUCAAGUGGGUAAGCAACACUGACCUCAGACCAGUGUCUAGGGGCAACUUUGUCCCUCUCCGGGUGAAGGGUAUAAACUGUGACCAAACAAAACCCUCUGAGGAAAUCAAACUAUGAUCUGUUUAGAGGUUGUUUUUUCUCUUGUGUUUUCUCUCCCCCUGCUGUACUUUGUUUAACGAGUAUCAUGUUGUGUUUGUUUUUCUACAUCUGAAACAGAUUGAGUACUGUUCUCUUUGAGGUUUGUAUCAGUUGUGUGUUUCUGCUUGUGGGUGAUGUUUUAUUUAGUACUUUAUUUAUUGACUUGUUUAAUUGCAACAUGCAUUGGAGUGGCUGUGUGUAGUUAUCCAUGUUGAAGUCAGCACUCCCCAAUCAUCAUUUUGGAAUCAGAGAUUGAGGAGUGCUGCUUUAAGGGAACAAGUUGUCUAUACAUAUCAGUUUACCAGUGAGGAUGUCGUGGUGUUUGAAGGUGACAUGAUGUGUUCUACUGAACCAGCAGUAAGUGAUUAGCUUGUACAGUUUUCUCUCUGUGUGAUUAGCUUGUACAGUUUUCUCUGUGUGUGUGUGUGUGUGUGUGUGUGUGUGUGUGUGUGUGUGUGUGUGUGUGUGUGUGUGUGUGUGUGUGUGUGUGUGUGUGUGUGUGUGUGUGUGUGUGUGUGUGUGUGUGUUUGAACAGCGCGAGGUCUCAAUAUGCUCAAACUCUGCUAUUGACUUGUUAUACAGUGUGUUGCCAUGGUCAAUAUUAGUUUCUCGUUCAAUAAAAGUGUGGCGUUUUUCUCAA